CACUAUGCCUAGCCUUAAACAUCGAUGACAUUUUACAACUGUCAUCCGCCCGGGUACUACGAGCAUCAGCUUAAAACCCAAAGGACUUGGCGGUGCUUUAGAUCCACCUAGAGGAGCCUGUUCUAGAACCGAUAACCCCCGUUCAACCUCACCCUUCCUUGUUUAUCCCGCCUAUAUACCACCGUCGUCAGCUUACCCUGUGAAGGCUUAAAUAGUAAGCAAAAUUGGCACAGCCCAAAACGUCAGGUCGAGGUGUAGCGUAUGGAAGGGGAAGAAAUGGGCUACAUUCCCUAAUCCAGCGCAUACGGACGACACAUUGAAAUACGUAUCCGAAGGAGGAUUUAGCAGUAAGCAGAAAAUAGAGCGUUCCGCUGAAACCGGCCCUGAAGCGCGCACACACCGCCCGUCACUCUCCCCGAGCUUACAUUUAUUUAUAAAUAAAACCUCAUAAUUGCAAAGGGGAGGCAAGUCGUAA
rnacentral:rRNA from 1 species